UUUCUUAAAAUUUCAAAAUUUCUUCGUACGUUUUUUAAUCUAAAAAGAAACGAAAGUGGAAACUUGUGAAUUGGAAAGAUUUGGUUUCGAAGAUAGAGAGGAGAGGAAGUUGUUUAUUGAAGAGGCGAAUAAGGAGGAGGAGACGAGGGAAACGGCACCGUUAUCGAUACUCAUUUCUUCAUGGAAAAAUGCUCGUCCGUUUUAAUACUCAACCGAUGCGCAAACCUUACUUAAGGGAAAUUAGUUUUUAAUUCUUAAUAUAGGGGACAUUUUAAAUAAGGAAUCGAGUAUCCAUAUCCGAGAAGCUUCGAUUUUAAGUAUCGUCAAUUAUAUUCGAUCUCGAGGUGAGAUGGGAUAAUGGAAGAUUUAAUCGGCCAUUCAUUAAUGUGAGAUCUGCGAUCACUCGUACGUGACUUUUGAUCUAAUUUUUGGAUUCUUGAAAAUGAUCACGAUCCGUGGAAUUUUCUUUUUUCUGCGUGGUGUAAUAAAUUAAUUGGAAUUGAGAUUCGAACAAAGAGAUAGAUCGAUUAUCGAUACAUCAGAUAUUCGUCACAAAGUUUUCUCAGACGUUAUUAUGAACCCGAGGAAAAGGAAUAAAAUCGAUGGAUUUUUAUGAUCACGCAAAUAGUUUACGAGGCUCUCGUGCCCCGGUAUCGAGGCACGUUCGAGCGAAUCGCGUUGCCGCAAUGCACCUAGCUCGGAUUCGCUCUCACGCGGCGCGCUUACUCGCCUGGAAAAUUAUCCAGUAACCCAGUGACACUGUGAGAAGUGGCGGAACCUUUCGUCAAUCGCUGCAUGUCGAUACGUGACGCCUCCAUUCCUUUCUCGAGAUCAUAGAUUUGAGAGAUUCUUUGUCGAAAGUUCUUCAUCGAAAAUCGUUCCAGCGAUCCAACUCUAUAGAACAGUCAAUGGAAAAGAAUGCCAAGAAAGAGAUUCUUUAUGGUCAUGAUAAAGUUGAUAUU
rnacentral:lncRNA from 1 species